rnacentral:rRNA from 1 species
AACGGCCUCGCGCGAGUAGGAGGCCGGCCGAUAGUCGGAUUAGCUAGUUGGUGAGGUAAAGGCUCACCAAGGCGACGAUCCGUAGCGGGUCUGAGAGGACGACCCGCCACACUGGAACUGAGACACGGUCCAGACUCCGUACGGGGAGGCAGCAGGUGGGGUAAUUUUUGGACAAUGGGGGGCAACCCUGAUCCAGCCAUUCCGCGUGAGUGAAGAAGGCCUUCGGGUUGUAAAGCUCUUUUCAGCAGGAACGAAACGGUGAGGGUUAAUACCCUUUACUAAUGACGGUACCUGAAGAAGAAGCACCGGCUAACUACGUG